rnacentral:lncRNA from 1 species
UGAUCCAGUCUUCGCAAAGCAGCCUUCCAGUGUUUUAAGGAGGUCCCUUGUAUAUGUAUGUGAACUGCUAUCUCUUUGCAUGUAUCAUUUAUACUGAUUCUUCCGCCGUGGAACCUAAUCUUGUUUCUUUCCCGCCAUAGACAGUAUUCUAGCAUCCCAAACACACUGGUGGUUAUUUCAGCAUGUCCAUUUCUCCUUUUUGCAAUGUUGCUAAUCCAUUCUACUUCACUGUUCCAAUCACAAAUGGCCCUCUGGUAUCCCAGCCAUAUUAGCAGUCUAUUCCAUAGCUCCCAAAAUGUCGGGCAAGUAAAAAAACGAUGGUCAAAGGAUUCGUCUACUUGCCUGCAUAAUACACAUUGUUAUGGAAUUUGUAUCCCAAAGUGCAUUAGCCUCUCCACUGUUGCCAGUCUUCUGCGCAAAGCUAGCCAGACGAUAAAUUUGAAUCGUGGGUGUAGUUUUGUCUGCAGAAUAAUGCUUUUCCAAUGUACUUUGGGGUGAUGAGGGAUUUGCAGUAUGUAGGGUUUUUUAAUGCUGAACCGUUCACCUCUUUGUAGCUGGUGCAGGCUACAUUCCAGAUUUCCUUAUAUUCCUUGUAUAUUUGUUAUCAGUGAUCGAGUCUCAAAGAUCUUUCUCACAGCCCAUGCAGCACUUUUAGGAGUAGGUACAUCCUCUGCAGCAUUGUUUUUGAUGUAGUAUGUGUGCACCUAUUUGACCCAUAGGUUGUCCUUCUUCAUUGUUACUGCCCACAGAUGCUUUGCAACAGCUGCCUUAUUUCAGAUUGGCAGGUUCAAUACAUUUAGGCCUCCAAAACUGUAUGGUAGACAGACAGUUUCCCAUGCUACUAAUGCCUUCUUUGACACAUUUUCUGCUCCAGUCCACAAGAAAGAUCUGCAGAUUGCCUCGAUCAUCUUCACUACCUUUUUAGGUAGGAGGAAGAUUUGAGACCAGUAAGAUUGCAUUCCAAAUAAGACUGACUUGAUCAACUGGAGCCUACCUGCGUAAGACAGUAGUCUUGACGUCCAGCAGUUAAUUUUCUGUGUUAUCUUUUCUACUAUUGGCAUGCCUUGUGUAACUGAUAAUUUUUUGGAGUCCAAUGGAACACCAAGAUAUUUGAAAGGUAGAGAACCUUAUUCAGUAGUUAAUUUUUUGUGUUAUCUUUUCUACUAUUGGCCAGCAUUGUGUAAUUGAUAAUUUUUUGGAGUCCAAUGGAACACCAAGAUAUUUGAAAGGUAGAGAACCUUCAGGGAAUUCUUUAAAAGGAUUGGUCAGCCCUCCAUUGAGAUUUAAUGAAUACGUGACAGAAGAGAUGCAUUCCAUUAUCCAUUUUGUAAAUUUGUAGGGGAACCCCAUGUCNNNNNNNNNNNNNNNNNNNNNNNNNNNNNNNNNNNNNNNNNNNNNNNNNNNNNNNNNNNNNNNNNNNNNNNNNNNNNNNNNNNNNNNNNNNNNNNNNNNNNNNNNNNNNNNAAACACCACUCCACUGUGUCAUAUGCCUUCCUCAGGUCAACUUUUAAUACACACCGAGGGGAUACUCCUUUCCUAUUGUACCCUUUAAAUAAUUCCUGGAUAAGUAGUAUAUUGUCUGUUAUGCUUCUGCCUUCAAUAAACGCUGACUGUGAAUUACCAAUCAAGCCACCUAUGACUGGUUUGAUUCUUUCUGUGAGCACCUUUGUGAUUAUUUUAUAUAGGGUUGUGUAGCAAGCAAUGGGUCUGUAGUCUUUGACAGUAGAAGGAUUUUGUAUUUUAGGAAUCAAGGUUACUGCGGUGCUACUUACUCCUUUAUGCAGUUUCCCUGUUGCAAAGAAUUUCGUUACUGCUUCAUAGACAUCAUCAGCAACAGUGUCCCAGUGUCUAGUGAAGAAUUCGAUUGGGAAGCCAUCUACUCCUGGUGCUUUAUCAGGGGUCAUAUCAUUUAUUGCCUGAUUAAUUUCCUCCUUUGUAACUGGCCUAAUCAGAUACUGCUUCUGCUGAGUGCUAAGACAUGGUCCCUUUUGAAUAAGGACAGUAUUUGGACAUUUACAGAAAGGUUGAUUUUCCCCCAGUAUCUUGCUGAAUACAUCUAAAAACUCUGCUUCCACUAGUUUAGGAUCAAACAGUCUCUCCCUUGAGUCAGUGUAUAUAGAGUUAAUUGUGUUUAUGUUUGUCCUCUGCUUCAUUUGUACAUGGAAGUACUUGGAGUUUGAGACUCCACAUGUGAUCCACUGUGCCCUGGAUUUUUUAUGAAGAAUCUGUUCUUCUAUGUUGCUCCAUUUCUCUACUUCUGUUAAAGUUUUCUUUUCUUGGUCUAUCAACUGCUGGUCCAGAUUAUUCCUUCUCAAUUCUAACUGAAUGUUUCUAGUUUCUGUCUUUCUACAUUGAGAUGGGUUCGAUAGGAUGCCAUAUUUUUUCCUUCUCAAUUCUAACUGAAUGGUUUUUAGAUAGGAGUAUUCAGUUCUUUCAACUACCAUUUCAAAGUUUUGAGCUUGUUCCAUAGCUUGUGCAUGCUUCCAGUGUCAUCAUUUCCCCUCUGUUCCAAACAUUUGCUACUAUACCAGUAAAUUCAACAUGCUCCAUCACAGGUUUGUACAAUUUAAAAGGUUUGGGAUGUAUAUUCUUCCUCUGAAUUGCAGUUGUGCAUUGUAUUAGAGUAGGAGAAUGGUCUGAUAUCCCCGGAGUCAGAUAAUCAGUUUCAAUGUGACAGUAAUGCUGCAUCCAUGUCAUAUUGCGAAAAGUCCAGUCUAUCCUGCUACACACCCUUCUCCUAGGUUGUUGUUUGUUGCACCAGGAGAAGUAACAUCCCAAACUAUUCAAUUGAGUAAGUUGAAGAUUGUUGAUUGCUUCCUGAAACCCUUUGAGUUCAUUCUGUGUUACUGGUGAGCCAAUUCUGUCGUCUGUGUGAAGAACAUUGUUGAAGUCCCCACUGAUCAACCAGCUUUGUUUAACAUGCUCCUAACAACAUCAGCCUAUCCCAUAAUUGUUGUCUUUUAUUUAUAUCAUUGCUUGCAUAUACCACUGUAAGAAGAGUUUUAAAGGUGGUANNNNNNNNNNNNNNNNNNNNNNNNNNNNNNNNNUACCACUGUAAGAAGAGUUUUAAAGGUGGUACCUCUUUCCUGAACUUCACAAUGAAUGAAUUGUUCAUCAGUCAACAAGAUUGUCACCUCACUGCUUUGUUUCCACAAUAGCCAGAUUCUGCCAUUGAAUGUUCAUUAUAAUUACAGCAAUUUCUCCAUUCUCCAUAGACAGUGUUGAGUAUCCUUCUAGCUUUUCCUUCCUUUACUCUAGUUUCUAAACAGCCCAUGACAUCCACCUUAUGCUUCCUCAGAAAGAGCUUUAACUCUUUCUGCUUGUAGGCCUUGUUCAGGCCCCUGAUAUUCCAUGUGCCUAGUAUCAUUUAAGGGUGAAGCUGGAUGGGCCAGCGUCCCCAAGAUUGCCUUCCAUCUGUAAAGGGGUAAAUCUAUUGUUUGAGUUCAGGAUACAAGUUUCUGUUUACAUUGCAUUCUUCCCUUUCUGUUUCCCAUUUUCAUCCUCCUUUGUAAAGCUAGUUCCUUCUGUCUCCAUCAUAUCCUCAGUCUUCUUUUCCUGUUCAGUUGCCACAUUCAUGGUUUUUACUUUUGGUGUCCAUCUCUUGGUUACUCUGAACUUCUGUUUCAACUGACCUAAUUUAGGUUUGUUCCUAUCUUUCUUUGAUGUCAGUUGCUCUUCCUUAUACUAACACUCAGCAGAACUAUGCCCAAAUUUGAUACCGUUAUCACAAUACUUUGGUUUCCAUUCGUAGUCUAUUUGUUGGACUAUGAUUCCUCUUUUUGUUUGAAGCUCUAAACUAUCUGGUAAAGGCUUGGAUAUAUCUGUUUCAAUCAACACUCUGGCAUAUGACACUUUCUCCAAAUCCGAUGUGAAUUUAUCAGUAUAUAGAGGUUUUCCAAGUGUUUCAAUCAACACUCUGGCAUAGGACACUUUCUCCAAAUCCGCUGUGAAUUUAUCAGUAUAUAGAGGCUUUCCAACCACAGUAGCCAAUUUGCUUAAUGCUUCAGUUGACCAGAAACCCAGUGGUAAUCCAGGGAAGUUUAUCCAUAGUGGACCACACUUAUAUUAUCCGGAUCAAACUUGAAUUCCAUUUCCAUUGCUGUAGUACAAGUGGCUUGUUAUGGAAGGUGUAAGGUCCUGCUUGUAAUACACGAUCCUUAUCCUCCGCAUUCUCAAAUCUGAAUAGAUAGUACCCAUCAUCAUGAUACAUUAUUUGAGGCUGGUCGACGAAAUUCCACAGGUUUGCGAAAAUUUUCCAUAGUUUUCUCAUACGGAGACUCCCCCAGUACAAAGCCUAUAUUGUCGACAAAAUUCCACAGGUUUGCGACAAAGUUUCCAUAGUUUUUUCAUACGGAGACUCCCCUAGUACAAAGGCUAUCAAUGCAUUACUCCAAUAAGCCUCUAAUUCCUUUGUAUCACCAUCAUCAAUUUGAACUACAAAUCACUCAUCUCUCAUAUCAGGGGGGAUGUAGCUUAGGGCAUUACCUCUUUGAGGGCUUCUAUUGAAAACCUUUUUCUUUUCAACCUCCCCUGUGUCUGCUACAGCUUGUAUGCUUCGAUCUUGUUUUGCAUACGUGGAAAAUUACAAUCACCGGUGAACUUGCGAUUGUGCAUGUGUUCCUACCUCUUGAGCUUGGCCAUGACAUUCCCCAAUUUUCUCCCUAAUAUUGCAAUCGACGGUGAACUUGCGAUUGUGAUUGUGUUCCUGCCUCUUGAGCUUGGACAUGAUAUUCCUCCAUUUCCUCCCUAAUAGGUUGAAAUUGCUUUGGCAUAAAGCUUCCAAGAGUUAACGGAUUCAAUCUCUGCUGAAUACCCGACUCCGGUGUCACUAUCGCCCCAUUUUGCACAUCAUCCGCUUCUGGGUUAUGGAAUACUGUAGGUGCUGAACUCAUUCCCGUUAACCAUCGAUUUGGAUGGUUUAUUGCUGGUGUGACUUCCAAAUCCUCAUCUCCUCUGUUUGCUGGUUCUCGUACAUCUUCUAUGCUCCCGAAGUGUAAGAAAAAAGGUAAGAUAUGUGUCUUUUCUAAGAAUUGUUCUAUUAUAUAGGCAGCUAAACAAAAUUCCAGUUCUUUUUUAACCGUAAUUUUCGAGCAUCACUUUGCGAACUCGACUAGCUGUAUCUAUCAGGAUCCACUAUUUCAACGCAUACUCCACGAUUAGUUCUACGGCCCCUGAAAACGCGGAAGCGCAGGAUUGCACCCUACUAUCGUGCGCCCGUUUUGCUAGACAGAGUUAGAUAAAUUCUCCAAUUGUUUUAGCUCAUGUGUUAAUAUAUACAACUCAAUGUUUUUUUUUUUAAAUCUGUCAAAACUUGCCACAAUCCACAAUACUCUUACAUAACAUCCAGAAACAAAUGAUAAAACUUGUUCUUUCAAAAUUCAACGUUCGUCAGUAAACUAAGCAAGACAUGAGAUCCCCUCCUAAAAUAUUUAUUAUAGGUGUACUCAAUUCCUCAUAGAUCGUCGUACUGGGUAUCCCGAUCCGGAUGCCCCGAAAAUUUAGGGAAGCCUUUUUCUUAAAAGACUUUUUACGACUGGUGCAUUUUCGGCCAAUGCAGAAUGUGAAGUACGUAUUUGUUAAAAAAAAAUAGCAUGAACUAUUGCAAAAUCUUCUUAAACACGAAGAAGCAACUCUAUUUUUCUGUUUAUGAUUUAAUUUGUUUCAUCUUCCAAAAAAGAGAAAAUUAUCGAAAUAAUUGGAGGUUGAAAAGUGGUUCGUGCACUCCUUAACUAUAGUAUAAUUGAUAAAAGAUAUUUCUCCAACAUCUUUUUUACGGACAAAUAGCUAGAGUUAUGCGUCCACUUCACCAAAAUUUUAAUGGUUUUUGUUUAAUAUUUACCUCAUGCAAUAACGAUAGCAAUAAUAUAAGAGAAAUUAUUUUCUAAAAAUUGAAUCAAUUUUAAUCGCUUGUUUUAGACUAUUUGUUUAAAAAUUAUUUUUUUUCUCUAAAUCCAUACUCAAAGAAAGAGUUAGAAGCUAGGGUCUAACCGAUAAGAACAAAGUUAUCAAAAUACUUUGUCGCAAUAGAGUGAUUCAAAAAUUAAUUUAGGGACAACAUGUAGCUUUAUAAUUAAUAUUAUUACCAAACAGAAAGAAAAGAUCCAAUAAGAAAAAAAUAUUUUCUAAAAAUCAAUUUACCCCUCUGAAAGCCGACAAGCACUACAUGUGUGGAUGAUAUCAAGACCGAUAAACUAAAACAAAAUAAAUUAGUUGAUAGUUGACACGAAAAUCUCUAAAGAAAAUAGUAAAGUUAAUUAAAAAUAUAAUAAUCUAAGGGAAUACUACCUUUUGAAAAGUUUGCUGAUACUCCUUCAAAAUUCUAUGAUGAAGAAUGUGGAAUAAUGACUUCUUUUCUAGAAGUAUUUGGGCCGAUUCUUUUUUAAAUGGAAUUCAUAUCAAUUAAAUUGGAAAUACAGUCCAAAUAGAAAAGGAAGAAAGAUCAAGCUUUUAGUCUGUUGUGGCUGUUGAUGUCCAUAAAAAGUAGAAUUAUAGCUUAUAUCAUAAGUAUUGAAAGUAGAGUUUGAAGAUAAUAAUUUUUUAAAGCUUCCAGCUUCCACAUAUUAUUGUAAGUUAGUUAAGUUCAUAUCCUACUAUAAGUCGUCAUAUUAAGUCGUCAUAUUAACUUGUAUUAUUUCCUGUUGUGUCCUUUUUGCGAGUUAAAUUAUUAAAUAUUUUAAGGCUAUUUUGGUAAAUCGAUAAUUUAUUUAUACUUUUAUAAUAAUAUAAAUAUAGAUUAUAAUGACAUAUGAAUCUUUAGUUGAAUCAAAAAGAAAAAUUGCGACAAACAAGGAACCUAAAAUAAGUAUUACAUUGUAACUAAGACUUAAUUCCAUUUUUCUUGAAAGGUUGUUACAACAUUCAAGAUCUUGUAAGUGAAGUUUGAGAGGGACAGAGUCCAAACAAAGACACGUUAUUUUUCCCUAAACUGAUUAGAUAGGUGAGGUUUAAUGUAAUAAUAAUAAUUCUUCUUUUGGACUAUCAAUUUCGAUGGUCCAAUUAAAGCAUUAUUCAAUCAUAGCUAGGCUGCUGACAUUGUGUCUCUAUGAUUUUUAUGCAUUUUUUAACUUUACCGCGACUCCUAUUAAUUUUUCAGUCUCGAGUUUUUAGUUAUAAAUGGAAGGGCAGCGCAGUGCACUAAAUUCUCGUUAUGUGCGGGGUUAGGAAAAAGUCGAUGCACUAAGCUCCCGCUUAUUACUAGUGCAAAAUUGUCAUUUUUAUAGUAUUUUACGUAAUUCUUAAUAGGUAAAUUGCAUCUAACAAGCUUUAUAUAAAUACCUUUGUACAAUUUAUGUGAGGAGCAAAUAUGAGCUAAUCCACUAUUGAUAAUUGCAUAUGUGUGUCCAAAUUCAAAUGGAUGACAAUUUGUUCUAUUUCCUAUAACUGAGGUAAAUCUAAACCAAUCUACUAAUAGACAAAGGCACGUUUGGGAUCGAACUUAAAAUAAGGAUAAAUUUGCUCUAUUUCCAUUGUUUAUCAUUCUUUUUAACAUGUCUUAAUUACAAGAAUGAUAUUUUUUUGUAAAUUAUUUAAUAGUAGCAUUUUCAUUUCUCAAUAAUACAAUUUGUUCAGACAAAAAGUUUAUUCGUUUAUAAGGAGAGAAAAAAUGAUAAAGAUAAAAUAAAAAGAUAUGUUGAACUCUCAACGCCACUCAAUUAAAAGGAAAUUGUUGUACUUUGCAUUAAUUUGACUUACAUAUCAAAAAAAUUUAAUAUUUUACCUAUUUGUAUUUAGUCAAAUACAAUGAACCCAGUAUAUUCCCAUAAAUGAGGUAUGAGGAAGAUAAUAUAUACAAAAAUCAUAUCUUUACUUUAUGAAAAUAGAAAAACUGUUACCCAUGGACUUUCGGCUCAAAAAUUUGUAUUUAGUUAAAUACUACUAUAAAAUAAGACAACAUCAUACCAAAUUCAUAAAAGACCAAAUUUGUGUUAACUAUUUGCAGUCGAAAUCUACUCUUACUUUCUAAGACAAAACGAGUAUCUUUUAAAGGAAAACAUGACUAGGAUGAUAAGGAUUUGACAAGAGAAUUGACAUAUACAAAAGAUACAAUCCAUUCAAUGCCCUAUCCAAAAUGACCCUUUCUCGUCAUCCCUCAUUUGUUCAUAUUUUCCAAGCUGAUUCACCUAAAGAGUACCAAUCAGAGAUACAAUAUCAAUAAGGGUUGUGGUAGAGUAAUAAUAUUUUCAUUAUUAAGUAGAGAUUUUAGGUUCACGCCCGGGUAUGAAAUCGUUUUUAUUAGGAAAAAUUUUACUCCUUGAUAUAAAAUUUUCGUAUGCAAAUUUUAUUUAGUCAAACCCCAAUACUAAUAUCAUACGCUAAAUAAAAAACAAAGAAAAUCAAAGAUACAGCUAAUGCUGCAGUAUCCACUUUGAGUCAUGGCGCAACUUGUUGUGACUAUGUGUGGACAAGUAUUCAAUGAGAUCUUAACCAAGCACGCUCACGUCUUCAUGAUAUCUUAACCUAACAAGCUUACGUCUUACAUUAAAUACGCUUUGAGUGUGUGUAGUUGGGGCACUUUGGAUUCUCUAGAUUCAAAAUUUACCUCUUUAAUUUUUUUUCUUUUAUAGGUGAUUUGGUCAAAGGAAUAAAGGAUACGAAUUUCAAAACGAAUUGUGAAAUUAUUUUAUUUUAUAUUUGAUUUUAAUUUUCUAUUCACGUUGUAGACACUAAAAUUUUAUCAAAUCAAGAUAAAUCCUAAAUUCAAGAUAAUUCUUGAAAUAUUAGGAGUCUAUUGGGGUUACUUGAUGGCUACUCCACUUAAACUCUAAUUCCCGCCUAUAAAUAAGGCUACAUAAGUCCUUCAAAUAUGAUCUCAUCAAUUCCAUAAACUCUUGAAAUAUGCACAAUGAGAUCAAAUAUGAUCUCCCAAAUUCCAUGAAACUCUUGGAAUAAUCUAUAUGAAAUCAAAAAAAUGUCAAAUAUGUCUUGCUUGUCCUACGUUCGAGAAAUACGCUGUUAAGGCCCCCAAAUCACGUAGAAUAAAUUGGAGGAAGAAUCAAGGAAUAAACAGAGUUGUUACUCGCAAUGUUUAUCAAUAAAAAAAUUCUUUAUAGUUGUUUAUAAUUGCAGUUUAUUAUUCAUAUGUUGAAAAUUAGUUGUAAACACACGUAUAAAUAAUUUAAUUCCAUGCUCAUAUAUACAAUAAUGUUGCAGUGUUGAUGAUAGGCUAUAAUUACAUAUUUUUGUCAAUUAUUACACUCUAUUUUACUGCACUUUAGUUGAGUUUGUGCUUUAAUCACUAGUGUUUUGCACUAAUUGUGUGUUUUAUGCCUUGUAAGUGUGAUUCUGAGCUAUAUAGAUGUUAUGGAAUGAAUUUAAAUGAUUUGAAGCUUCGAAAUCUGAGUAAAAGCUCAAGAAGUUAAGUCAGGAUCGUGUUCGGGGGUCAAAUUUGAUAGUUGAGAACAAACAAAAACUCGAUGAGGCAUAUUGCGCGCAGUCUAGUAAAAUAUACGUAACGUUUUACUCAGAACUCCAUUUUGGCUCCAUAAUAUAUGGUUGGAAAUAUAACUCAAAGGGAUACAACUUUCAUAAUUUGCGGUUUUCUAAAUUCCAAAUGGAACAGGGUGAAAAAUUACAGUUUCACCGCAAUCGCGGCAGAAUCGCGGCAGAGUGGAGACGCAGACAAUUGAUGAAUCAGAGGCCAUGUUUGGCCGCGGUUUAACCGUGGUAGAACUGCGAUAAGAGGCGGAAAUUUCAGGGACAUAAGUGCAGAAUACGAAAUUUUUAGCCCAAAAUCCUAUUUUAAACACUAGACUUCGCUCAAGAGAGGCAUGUAUUGAAUUUUAGAGUAUCUUGGCAAGAAAAAUAAUUGUGAGAGAUCACCCAAAAUAUCUUUCUUCUUUUCUUUGAUCUUUAUUCCUAGUUUAUGAUGAAUAUUAUCUUAGUUUGUUUACCCAUAGUCAUGAGUAGCUAAAUCUUUUGUCUAAAGUUUUGAUGGAACCUAUUGGGGGAUGUACUUUUUGUUUAUGUGAAUACAAAUUGCUAGUUUCAAUCUUUAAUUAUUCACCUAUGUUCUUGUUGUAGUUAAUUGGCAAGAUCCUCAAUUAGUUGUGCAUAUUUAGUGUGCAUAACUAGGGGUGUGCAUUCGAUUUAUCGAUUCGAUUUUUAUCCUUAUCGAUAAUUACUUAUCGANNNNNNNNNNNNNNNNNNNNNNNNNNNNNNNNNNNNNNNNNNNNNNNNNNNNNNNNNNNNNNNNNNNNNNNNNNNNNNNNNNNNNNNNNNNNNNNNNNNNNNNNNNNNNNCGAUUUUUUCGAUUUCGAUUUAUCGAUUUUUGGGGCUUAUCGAUUCGGUUAUCGAUAACACCAAUAAGCCAAGAGGCGGGCUGCACACUUUGUAAACUUUUAAAGCCCAAGCAAUGAUUUGAGUUGUUGUAGACCAAUCACACUUUGUUAAAAGGAAACAUUUACUUCAAAAUAAUCACUUACCAGCAAUGUUUGCUCCAGAUCAUUAGCCAUUCAAGUAAGAGUCUCUUGAGUCUUUUUCCCUGCUAAUGCCACAGCUCCCUUCGCUGGAAGUUCUUCCUUUGGUCUAUACUUAUUCUCAAAUGCAUUGUCAAUGUCUGAAUCCAAGUCAAAAACUUCUCAAAAUCCACAUCCAUUUGCCAGAGAAAUGCGAUAGCUCUGUUACAAAAGACAUGAAACAAAACCUCUUACAAUCGACCCUUUGGCAACGAUCAAAUAAAAAUGUCAAUUCUCCGUACCUACCUCCCUUAAGUAUUCAUGAAACCCCAAACUACUACUGUCACCUAAGUAGUAAAACCGGAACAAGUAAAAUCAAACAAAAAUUCAAAGAGCCAUGACACCAAAUCUGGCAAUUAGAAAGAUAAGUAAAGUUAGAGUGUGAUUUUUUAAUAGCAACAAUUCCUUUCUUACUCUUGAAUUAGUACAGAACCUCUGCACAAGAUCAGCUAACAACAGCAAAACAACGAAAAUAAUCACAAACCACAAAUGAAACCAACCCAACUUCUUAAUCCAAAAGAAAAUGACAGAACCCACGUCGUGUGACUCCAAAUUCAUGCUAUCCAAACCAUGUUAUGAAAUUGAAGGGAGAUAGCAAUUAACAAUAGCGAGGACGUCAUUAACAGAGCAUCGUAAUAAACAAAAACAGAAGAUGUAAAUGAAAGAAUCGAAACUCAGACCUUAAACCGGGAAUAGAGAUUAACGAUCUCAAAUAGAACCUCAACGGAAUCACUCGACGGUGCUUCGGACAGUACCGCAAGCAGCAAACUCAAAGUUGACGUCUCCAGUGAGAUCUCGAAACCAAAACAAAAGCAGAAACCUUAGCGACCUCCUCUUGAGCUUUCUCGAAUGAGAUCGGAGGCAGUGAAUUAGGAAAUCGGGGGUUAAGGUUAGGGUUAUUUAUGAGUUUUGAAGGGGUGGAGUGGUCGUUGCAUUUUGCUCUAGAUUCUAACGAUUUAGGGUGGUCCUUUUGGGUGUGUUGAUGGCUGAAAAAAAAUGAAGACUUAGGUUUUUCAAUUCUAAGGAAUUCAAAAGCCAUAGGAACAGAGCACGGACAUGGUCAUACUUGAUACCUGAUUCUUUUUGGGGGUGGUUGUCUUCGGCAUGAGGGUGUCAUUUGGUCGGAGAAGAAGAAGAGUAGCGUGAGGGUGGUGGCUAGGUAUAGGUUUUGAGAGGAUUAGGGUUUUGUUUAUGUAUAGUAUAAUGAAAUGAAACAAAAAAAUGAGGGGAAGAGGGGG